rnacentral:rRNA from 1 species
CCUGGUGGUCUUGGAGGCGGGGGUACACCCGAUCCCUUUCCGAACUCGGAAGUUAAGCCCGCCAUCGCCGAUGAUACUGUGGUUCUAAUCAUGGGAAAGUAGGUCGCUGCCAGGA